AUGAACGCUAGCUACAGGCUUAACACAUGCCAGUCGAGGGGAAACGGCAUUGAGUGCUUGCACUCUUUGGACGUCGACCGGCGCACGGGUGAGUAACGCGUAUCCAACCUUCCCAUUACUGUGGGAUAACCUGCCGAAAGGCAGACUAAUACCGCAUAGUCUUCGAUGACGGCAUCAGAUUUGAAGUAAAUAUUUAUCGGUAAUGGAUGGGGAUGCGUCUGAUUAGCUUGUUGGCGGGGUAACGGCCCACCAAGGCGACGAUCAGUAGGGGUUCUGAGAGGAAGGUCCCCCACAUUGGAACUGAGACACGGUCCAAACUCCUACGGGAGGCAGCAGUGAGGAAUAUUGGUCAAUGGACGGAAGUCUGAACCAGCCAAGUAGCGUGCAGGAUGACGGCCCUAUGGGUUGUAAACUGCUUUUGUAUGGGGAUAAAGUUAGGGACGUGUCCCUAUUUGCAGGUACCAUACGAAUAAGGACCGGCUAAUUCCGUG
rnacentral:rRNA from 1 species